UAAGCAGAGGGGAUAGGACUGAAGAGAUAGAUUCUAGAAUUCUCUGUAUAGAACAUGGACACCUGGCUACUUAUGAGGUCACCAAAUGAGAGAAUGUAGAAAGAAGAGAAGAAGGUGCAGAGCAGAGACUUGACAUAUCCCUACUGUUAGUGAAAAAUCUCAUGGAUGAUUAUGUAGGAAAAGAGUCUGAGGAAGGAAUGGUCAGAAAGUUAGGGAAGAAAGAAGAAAAGUAAAAUGAAAGAGAACAAAGUGAGGAGAUUCUUCUACUUUUGAAGUCGAACACUAUAUUCCAAUUCAUGAAAAUGAAUGAAGAAAUUGUUCCUGGCCUUGUAACAACCAAUCUCUGAAUGCUGGUCUAUGGAAUUGUUUCUCAGAAAAUAAGGUAUUCUUUCACAUAGACCAGUAAAUGAAUGAAAUGGAAUUUACCAAAAGGAUGCUAUGUGAUGAAGGUAACUCUGCAAAAGGACAUCUCUUAAAAUUGAGGAUUUGAAUCAUUCUGAAAAAUGAAGAUGUUGGACCAAAUCUCUGUGGUUUCCUUCUAAUUCAAAAAUUCUAUGAUUUUGACUAACCCUCUCUUGAUAUAUAUCCAGCUGAUUCAUCCAGUAUCACAGGUACCACCUUUUACCUAACCCAUCCCAUGUUUCAUUUCUGAGAUUAUAUUGGAUACUGAAAUUUCUAUUUUUAAAUACAUUGCUUUUUAAGGUCUGUUUGAGCUUGCUUUCUGCUGUUUCUCAUAUAAGAUGAACAGUAUAUUACUUUUUUAAAUG
rnacentral:lncRNA from 1 species